rnacentral:rRNA from 1 species
CAGUAGCACGGUAAAACGAAGGGUGCAAGCGUUACUCGGAAUUACUGGGCGUAAAGCGUGCGUAGGUGGUUCCUUAAGUCUGAUGUGAAAGCCCUGGGCUCAACCUGGGAAUUGCAUUGGAUACUGGCGAGCUAGAGUGCGGUAGAGGGUAGUGGAAUUCCCGGUGUAGCAGUGAAAUGCGUAGAGAUCGGGAGGAACAUCUGUGGCGAAGGCGACUGCCUGGACCAGCACUGACACUGAGGCACGAAAGCGUGGGGAGCAAACAGGAUUAGAUACCCCGGUAGUCCCUGUCUCUUAUACC